AGUGAACGCUGGCGGCGUGCUUAACACAUGCAAGUCGAACGAGAACGGACUAUAGCUUGCUAUAGUUGUCAGCUAAGUGGCGCACGGGUGAGUAAUAUAUAGGUAAUGUGCCCUAGAGAGGGGGAUAACAUUUGGAAACGAAUGCUAACACCCCAUAUGCCCUUAAGACAAAAGUCUGCAGGGGAAAUAUUUAUAGCUCUAGGAUCGGCCUGUACGGUAUCAGCUUGUUGGUGAGGUAAUGGCUCACCAAGGCAAUGACGCCUAACUGGUUUGAGAGGAUGAUCAGUCACACUGGAACUGAGACACGGUCCAGACUCCUACGGGAGGCAGCAGUGGGGAAUAUUGCACAAUGGGGGAAACCCUGAUGCAGCAACGCCGCGUGGAGGAUGACACAUUUCGGUGCGUAAACUCCUUUUAUAUAGGAAGAUAAUGACGGUACUAUAUGAAUAAGCGCCGGCUAACUCCGUGCCAGC
rnacentral:rRNA from 1 species